GAUGAACGCUAGCUACAGGCUUAACACAUGCAAGUCGAGGGGUAACGAGAGGAAAGCUUGCUUUCCUUGUCGACGACCGGCGCACGGGUGAGUAACGCGUAUCCAACCUGCCCCCAACUAGGGAAUAACCUUGCGAAAGUAAGACUAAUACCCUAUAAUUUCCUCAGAUGACAUCUGACGAGGAAUAAAGAUUUAUCGGUUGUGGAUGGGGAUGCGUCUGAUUAGCUUGUUGGCGGGGUAACGGCCCACCAAGGCAACGAUCAGUAGGGGUUCUGAGAGGAAGGUCCCCCACAUUGGAACUAAGACACGGUCCAAACUCCUACGGGAGGCAGCAGUGAGGAAUAUUGGUCAAUGGGCGGAAGCCUGAACCAGCCAAGUAGCGUGCAGGAUGACGGCCCUAUGGGUUGUAAACUGCUUUUAUACAGGAAUAAAGUUAGCCACGUGUGGUUAUUUGUAGGUACUGUAUGAAUAAGGACCGGCUAAUUCCGUGCCAGCAGCCGCCGUAAUAC
rnacentral:rRNA from 1 species